AACCCAGUGCAAUUCGUUGCACUAUCGUUAACUGAAUACAUAGGUUAACGAGGCGAACCGGGGGAACUGAAACAUCUAAGUACCCCGAGGAAAAGAAAUCAACCGAGAUUCCCCCAGUAGCGGCGAGCGAACGGGGAGCAGCCCAGAGUCUGAAUCAGCUUGUGUGUUAGUGGAACGGUCUGGAAAGUCCGACGGUACAGGGUGAUAGUCCCGUACACCAAAAUGCACAGGUUGUGAACUCGAAGAGUAGGGCGGGACACGUGGUAUCCUGUCUGAAUAUGGGGGGACCAUCCUCCAAGGCUAAAUACUCCUGACUGACCGAUAGUGAACCAGUACCGUGAGGGAAAGGCGAAAAGAACCCCGGCGAGGGGAGUGAAAAAGAACCUGAAACCGUGUACGUACAAGCAGUGGGAGCACCUUCGGGUGUGACUGCGUACCUUUUGUAUAAUGGGUCAGCGACUUAUAUUCUGUAGCAAGGUUAACCGUAUAGGGGAGCCGCAGGGAAACCGAGUCUUAACUGGGCGUUAAGUUGCAGGGUAUAGACCCGAAACCCGGUGAUCUAGCCAUGGGCAGGUUGAAGGUUGGGUAACACUAACUGGAGGACCGAACCGACUAAUGUUGAAAAAUUAGCGGAUGACUUGUGGCUGGGGGUGAAAGGCCAAUCAAACCGGGAGAUAGCUGGUUCUCCCCGAAAGCUAUUUAGGUAGCGCCUCGUGAAUUCAUCUUCGGGGGUAGAGCACUGUUUCGGCUAGGGGGUCAUCCCGACUUACCAACCCGAUGCAAACUACGAAUACCGAAGAAUGUUAUCACGGGAGACACACGGCGGGUGCUAACGUCCGUCGUGAAGAGGGAAACAACCCAGACCGCCAGCUAAGGUCCCAAAGUCAUGGUUAAGUGGGAAACGAUGUGGGAAGGCACAGACAGCCAGGAUGUUGGCUUAGAAGCAGCCAUCAUUUAAAGAAAGCGUAAUAGCUCACUGGUCGAGUCGGCCUGCGCGGAAGAUGUAACGGGGCUAAACCAUGCACCGAAGCUGCGGCAGCGACACUAUGUGUUGUUGGGUAGGGGAGCGUUCUGUAAGCCUGCGAAGGUGACCUGUGAGGGUUGCUGGAGGUAUCAGAAGUGCGAAUGCUGACAUAAGUAACGAUAAAGCGGGUGAAAAGCCCGCUCGCCGGAAGACCAAGGGUUCCUGUCCAACGUUAAUCGGGGCAGGGUGAGUCGACCCCUAAGGCGAGGCCGAAAGGCGUAGUCGAUGGGAAACAGGUUAAUAUUCCUGUACUUGGUGUUACUGCGAAGGGGGGACGGAGAAGGCUAUGUUAGCCGGGCGACGGUUGUC
rnacentral:rRNA from 2 species